AAAGUCGUAACAAGGUCUCCGUUGGUGAACCAGCGGAGGGAUCAUUACCGAGUACUUAACUCAUAACCCUUUGUGAACCAUUAUAACCUGUUGCUUCGGCGGCGCGUGCCCCAGGGCCGCGCCCGCCGGUAACCAUCAGAAUCUCUGUUUGUACCCGACGAUACUUCUGAGUGUUCUAAGCGAACUGUUAAAACUUUCAACAACGGAUCUCUUGGCUCCA
rnacentral:misc_RNA from 1 species